rnacentral:rRNA from 1 species
UACGUAGGGUGCAAGCGUUGUCCGGAAUUAUUGGGCGUAAAGAGCUCGUAGGCGGUCUGUUGCGUCGGCUGUGAAAACCCGAGGCUCAACCUCGGGCCUGCAGCCGAUACGGGCAGACUAGAGUUCGGCAGGGGAGACUGGAAUUCCUGGUGUAGCGGUGAAAUGCGCAGAUAUCAGGAGGAACACCGGUGGCGAAGGCGGGUCUCUGGGCCGAAACUGACGCUGAGGAGCGAAAGCGUGGGGAGCGAACAGG